rnacentral:rRNA from 1 species
UGGCGGCAUGGCUUACACAUGCAAGUCGAACGGUAGAGGGGCAACCCUCGAGAGUGGCGAACGGGUGAGUAACGCAUCGGAACGUGCCCAGUCGUGGGGGAUAACACUUCGAAAGAAGUGCUAAUACCGCAUACGACCUGAGGGUGAAAGCGGGGGAUCGCAAGACCUCGCGCGAUUGGAGCGGUCGAUGUCAGAUUAGGUAGUUGGUGGGGUAAAGGCCUACCAAGCCGACGAUCUGUAGCUGGUCUGAGAGGACGACCAGCCACACUGGGACUGAGACACGGCCCAGACUCCUACGGGAGGCAGCAGUGGGGAAUUUUGGACAAUGGGCGCAAGCCUGAUCCAGCCAUGCCGCGUGCAGGAAGAAGGCCUUCGGGUUGUAAACUGC